rnacentral:lncRNA from 1 species
CCUCACCAUGCCAAACGGAUGACGGAAGCUGCAUCUACACUCAAGGUUCCAUUCCCGACGUGGCACGGGACAUUAUUUCUAAGCGGCAUACAGAGGACGAUGCGUUCUUUGUGUGCGACCUGCGGGACAUAACCAGGAAGGUCAUCCUUUGGAAGGAAUGUCUCCCAAGGAUCGAGCCCUUUUACGCAAUCAAGUCCUGUAGAGACCCUGUGGCAUUGAACGCCCUCAACAAUCUUGGCAUCAGCUU